AUGUUAGCGGCGGACGGGUGAGUAACACGUGGGUAACCUGCCUGUAAGACUGGGAUAACUCCGGGAAACCGGGGCUAAUACCGGAUGGUUGUUUGAACCGCAUGGUUCAGACAUAAAAGGUGGCUUCGGCUACCACUUACAGAUGGACCCGCGGCGCAUUAGCUAGUUGGUGAGGUAACGGCUCACCAAGGCGACGAUGCGUAGCCGACCUGAGAGGGUGAUCGGCCACACUGGGACUGAGACACGGCCCAGACUCCUACGGGAGGCAGCAGUAGGGAAUCUUCCGCAAUGGACGAAAGUCUGACGGAGCAACGCCGCGUGAGUGAUGAAGGUUUUCGGAUCGUAAAGCUCUGUUGUUAGGGAAGAACAAGUGCCGUUCAAAUAGGGCGGCACCUUGACGGUACCUAACCAGAAAGCCACGGCUAACUACGUGCCAGCAGCCGCGGUAAUACGUAGGUGGCAAGCGUUGUCCGGAAUUAUUGGGCGUAAAGGGCUCGCAGGCGGUUUCUUAAGUCUGAUGUGAAAGCCCCCGGCUCAACCGGGGAGGGUCAUUGGAAACUGGGGAACUUGAGUGCAGAAGAGGAGAGUGGAAUUCCACGUGUAGCGGUGAAAUGCGUAGAGAUGUGGAGGAACACCAGUGGCGAAGGCGACUCUCUGGUCUGUAACUGACGCUGAGGAGCGAAAGCGUGGGGAGCGAACAGGAUUAGAUACCCUGGUAGUCCACGCCGUAAACGAUGAGUGCUAAGUGUUAGGGGGUUUCCGCCCCUUAGUGCUGCAGCUAACGCAUUAAGCACUCCGCCUGGGGAGUACGGUCGCAAGACUGAAACUCAAAGGAAUUGACGGGGGCCCGCACAAGCGGUGGAGCAUGUGGUUUAAUUCGAAGCAACGCGAAGAACCUUACCAGGUCUUGACAUCCUCUGACAUCCUAGAGAUAGGACGUCCCCUUCGGGGGCAGAGUGACAGGUGGUGCAUGGUUGUCGUCAGCCUCGUGUCGUGAGAUGUUGGGUUAAGUCCCGCAACGAGCGCAACCCUUGAUCUAGUGCCAGCAUCAGUGGGCACUCUAAGGUGACUGCCGUGACAACCGGAGAGGUGGGAUGACGUCAUCAUCAUGCCCUUAUGACCUGGCUACCACGUGCUUCAUUGACGAACAAGGGCAGCGAACCGAGUAGCAAUCCAAAUCGGUCCAAUUCGGAUCGCACCUGCAACUCCACUGCGGUGAACCGGAAUCGCUA
rnacentral:rRNA from 1 species